rnacentral:rRNA from 1 species
CCUACGGGAGGCAGCAGUGAGGAAUAUUGGUCAAUGGGCGCGAGCCUGAACCAGCCAAGUAGCGUGAAGGAUGACUGCCCUACGGGUUGUAAACUUCUUUUAUAAAGGAAUAAAGUGAGGCACGUGUGCCUUUUUGUAUGUCCUUGAUGAUUAAGGAUCGGCUAACUCCGUGACAGCAGCCGCGGUAAUACGGAGGAUCCGAGCGUUAUCCGGAUUUAUUGGGUUGACAGGGAGCGUAGAUGGUUUGUUAAGUCAGUUUGGAAAGUUUGCGGGUCAACCGUAAAAUUGCAAUUGAUACUGGCAGUCUUGAGUACAGUUGAGGUAGGCGGAAUUCGUGGUGUAGCGGUGAAAUGCUUAGAUAUCACGAAGAACUCCGAUUGCGAAGGCAGCUUACUAAACUGCCACUGACAUUGAUGCUCGAAAGUGUGGGUAUCAAACAGGAUUAGAUACCCUGGUAGUC